rfam:Malassezia globosa CBS 7966 mgl_sf_3.1, whole genome shotgun sequence.
GACAAGGUGCCGGAGUGGUUAACGGGUUCGCCUCGAACUUAUUCGACGCUGAAGCCAGCGGUAAGCGAAUGGGCUCUGCCCGCACAGGUUCGAAUCCUGUUCUUGUCG